rnacentral:misc_RNA from 1 species
UCGGAUAACGAUAGUGUGGAUAUUGUGUAUAUUGGUGUGUAUGAGUAUUUUUGUGGUGUUUCAAGUUAUUCUCUUUGUGUCGCAUUAUUAGCUUCCCAAAUAAUUAUUAAAAUGUCUGAGAAACUAAAGGAGAUGCGGGAAAAGUCUCAGAGGAGGAGGCAGCUCCUGGCUCAGCAGCUUGGAGUCUCCAGCCCACAAAAUUUGGGCAAGGUUCUAGGAAGUACCUCAUCAUCAGAGAAGCCAAAUGAGGAGAAGAAAGAGGAGCCAGAGGCAAAGAAGGCCAAAAGUGAUGAAAGUGACACAGCUGAAGAAAUGGUGUAUACUGAUUCUUCAGCCUUCCUCAAGGGCACCCAGUCGGCCAACCCCCACAACGACUACUGCCAGCACUUUGUCGACACCGGCCAGCGGCCGCAGAACUUCAUCAGGGACGUCGGACUCGAGGACCGCUUUGAAGAGUACCCGAAGCUGAGGGAGCUCAUCAAACUGAAGGACGAGCUGAUCGAGGAGACGGCCACGCCGCCCAUGUACCUGAAGACGGACCUGCUGUCGUUCGAGCUGCGCCAGCUGCGCAGUGAGUUCGAUGUGAUCCUGGUCGAGCCGCCGCUGGAGGAGUACCAGCGCACACUGGGCGUCACCAACGAGCGCUUCUGGAACUGGGACGAGAUAAUGGGUCUGCAGCUGGACCAGGUGGCCGCGCACCGCUCAUUCGUGUUCCUCUGGUGCGGCUCGUCCGACGGUCUCGACAAGGGCAGACAGUGUCUCAGGAAGUGGGGAUUCCGACGCUGCGAGGACAUCUGCUGGAUCAAGACCAACAUCAAAAACCCCGGCCACAACAAAAACCUGGAGACUAAGGCCAUCUUCCAGCGCACAAAGGAGCACUGCCUGAUGGGCAUCAAGGGCACGGUGCGCCGGUCGGUGGACGGAGACUUCAUCCACGCCAACGUCGACAUCGACCUGAUCAUCGCCGAGGACCCCGGCUACGGGUCGCUGGAGAAAGCCAAGGAGAUCUUCCACAUCAUCGAGCACUUCUGCCUCGGCCGGCGCAGACUGCAUCUGUUUGGCCGCGAGUCGACCAUCCGACCCGGCUGGCUGACGGUCGGACCCGGCCUGACCUCGUCCAACUUCGACCCGGACCUCUACAACGGCUACUUCGCCGGCGGAAACACCACCACCGGCUGCACGGAGCGGAUCGAGGCGCUGCGUCCCAAGUCGCCGCCGCCCAAGAGUCGCGGUGGCUACAGCCGGGGCCGCGGCCGGGGCGGUCGCUGACCGCGGUAGGUGGCGCUCUAGUCGCUAGCUGCUUGUGUAGGUGGCGCUGCCAGUGCGAAUGCUGUCGGCCAGAUCGCAUGGUGUCUUUCCUUCAUCGUCACGUGCUCACACUGCCAUGUGUGGUGUAC